UUUAACUUUAAAAUUUGUGAUCAGUUUCUGAUGGGUGCAUUGUGUAACUAUCAGAUUUUUCUUGGUUUUAUUUUCUGAUGGAAUUUAUAGUUGCUGAUAGAUUUUUGGGACCAAGGACUAGUUCUUUCGUUAAUCUUUGAAGAUGCUUCAUUUUCCAUCUUUUAUAUUCGAUGAUAAUGCAUCAUUGUACACCAAACAUAGUGUUUUAGAAAGGAACUUUGUUGCUUGAGAUGUCUUUAAAUGACUAGUUUUGUUGUCCUUAUGGGGCUUACAGUGACUCAUUAAUGUAAUCUCAUUUUUUUCUUAACACAAGGAAUACAUUUAUUUCCAAGAAAGUUGACAACAAGAAGAAAAAGAAACUUAAGAAGGUGGAAGAUAAGAUGCUUGGAUGGGCUACAUGAUUUUGAUACGUGCAUUGCAAAAAAUGAAGAAGCUAUUCAAAUUGAUCCUCACUUUGCUGAGUGUUAUGGAAACAUGGCAAAUGCUUGGAAGGAGAAGGGCAACAUUGAUGUUGCAAUCCGCUACUAUUUAAUUGCUAUCGAGGU